UGAAAGAUUCCAAAAUCCUCACUUUUUUUAAAGAUAGGUAGAAACUUUACAUUGUCUAUAUAUUUCUGUUCUAUAAAUACAUGACUUUACACUAAGUCUGCUGUUUUGAUACAUUUCUCAAAAUUUUAUGCUAUUUUUUCAAAGGAACAAAAAAGAUGCAUUCAUUCUUCCUAUACCUUUCUCUAAAGUUUUCCUUUUAUUUUAUUAUCAUGACUUAAAGACUUCUUUAGGUAUAACUUAUUUUAUGGUCACUGUAAUCAUUAAACAGAUUAUUUAAGUAAACAAAAAUGUUGUUUGACCCCUACAACAUUCUUCAUUUUAACUAAGUUAUCUAUGUAAUUUCAUAUUUUAAUUAAUUCCACUUAUGAUUAAAAUUAUAUUUCCUGAGCAUUUCUACUUAGUCAUAAAAAUAGUAGUGUAUGUGUUAAAUGUUUGUGUAUCACUUAGUUUUAAAAUUUGUUUUAUUUGGACAAUGUCUUUGAUUCAGUUGGGGAAAAAAAUGACUGGUUGAUCAGAAAAAAAUUUCUGUUCAAAGUAUUUUAUUAUUGCCUAUUUUUAAAUAAUUAUACUGAACUAAAUCUGUUAUAUCCUUUAUAAAUUGCAAUGUCCAGAGAGGCUGGGCGCGACACCUCACGCCUGUAGUCCCAGCACUUUGGGUGGCCAAGGCAGGCGGAUCACCUAAGUUCAGGAGUUCGAGACCAGCCUUGCCAACAUGGUGAAACCCCUUCUCUACUAAAAAAUACAAAAAACUAGCCAGGCGUGAUGGCACAUGCCUGUAGUCCCAGCUACUCAGGAGGCUGAGGCAGAGGAAUCCCUUGAACCCAGGAGGCGGAGGUUGCAGUAAGCCAAGAUUGCACCACUGCACUCUCCAGCCUGGUGAUAGAGCAAGACUCCAUCUAAAAAAAAAAAAAAAAAAAAAAAAAAAAUUAAUGCUACCAGAAUGGCUUGAACGUGGGAGGCGGAGGUUGCAGUGGACCGAUUGCACCACUGCACUCCAGCCUGAGCAACAGAGUGAGACUCUGCGGGAAAAAAAAAAAAAAAAGCCGGCCACGGUGGCUCAUGCCUUAAUCCCAGCACUUUGGAGGCCAAGCCAGGCGGAUCACCUGAGGUUGGGAGUUCGAGACCAGCCUGACCAACAUGGAGAAACCCCAUCUCUACUAAAAACACAAAAUUAGCCGGGCAUGGUGACGCAUGACUGUAAUCCCAACUACUCAGGAAGGCUGAGGCAGGAGAAUCGCUUGAACCCGGGAGGUGGAUGUUGCGGUGAGCCAAGAUCGCGCCAUUGCACUCC
rnacentral:lncRNA from 1 species